GUUAGUUUUACCCUACUGAUGAGAUGUUGUCGCGACAGUAAUCCAACUUAGUACGAGAGGAACCGUUGGUUCAGAUAAUUGGUUCAUGCGGUUGCCUGACAAGGCAGUGCCGCGAAGCUACCAUCUGUAGGAUUAUGACUGAACGCCUCUAAGUCAGAAUCCAUGCUGAAAAGCGACGAUACUUCACCUUUCCGGAUGUGGUGGAAUAUCGAUAG
rnacentral:rRNA from 10 species